rnacentral:rRNA from 1 species
AGAGUUUGAUCAUGGCUCAGGACGAACGCUGGCGGCGCGCCUAACACAUGCAAGUCGAACGAGCGAGAGAGAGCUUGCUUUCUCGAGCGAGUGGCGAACGGGUGAGUAACGCGUGAGGAACCUGCCUCAAAGAGGGGGACAACAGUUGGAAACGACUGCUAAUACCGCAUAAGCCCACGGUGCCGCAUGGCACAGAGGGAAAAGGAGCAAUCCGCUUUGAGAUGGCCUCGCGUCCGAUUAGCUAGUUGGUGAGGUAACGGCCCACCAAGGCGACGACCGGUAGCCGGACUGAGAGGUUGAACGGCCACAUUGGGACUGAGACACCGCCCAGACUCCUACGGGAGGCAGCAGUGGGGAAUAUUGCACAAUGGGGGAAACCCUGAUGCAGCGACGCCGCGUGGAGGAAGAAGGUCUUCGGAUUGUAAACUCCUGUUGUUGAGGAAGAUAAUGACGGUACUCAACAAGGAAGUGACGGCUAACUACGUGCCAGCAGCCGCGGUAAAACGUAGGUCACAAGCGUUGUCCGGAAUUACUGGGUGUAAAGGGAGCGCAGGCGGGAAGACAAGUUGGAAGUGAAAUCCAUGGGCUCAACCCAUGAACUGCUUUCAAAACUGUUUUUCUUGAGUAGUGCAGAGGUAGGCAGAAUUCCCGGUGUAGCGGUGGAAUGCGUAGAUAUCGGGAGGAACACCAGUGGCGAAGGCGGCCUACUGGGCACCAACUGACGCUGAGGCUCGAAAGUGUGGGUAGCAAACAGGAUUAGAUACCCUGGUAGUCCACACUGUAAACGAUGAUUACUAGGUGUUGGAGGAUUGACCCCUUCAGUGCCGCAGUUAACACAAUAAGUAAUCCACCUGGGGAGUACGACCGCAAGGUUGAAACUCAAAGGAAUUGACGGGGGCCCGCACAAGCAGUGGAGUAUGUGGUUUAAUUCGACGCAACGCGAAGAACCUUACCAAGUCUUGACAUCCUGCGACGCACAUAGAAAUAUGUGUUUCCUUCGGGACGCAGAGACAGGUGGUGCAUGGUUGUCGUCAGCUCGUGUCGUGAGAUGUUGGGUUAAGUCCCGCAACGAGCGCAACCCUUAUGGUCAGUUACUACGCAAGAGGACUCUGGCCAGACUGCCGUUGACAAAACGGAGGAAGGUGGGGAUGACGUCAAAUCAUCAUGCCCUUUAUGACUUGGGCUACACACGUACUACAAUGGCGUUAAACAAAGAGAAGCAAGACCGCGAGGUGGAGCAAAACUCAGAAACAACGUCCCAGUUCGGACUGCAGGCUGCAACUCGCCUGCACGAAGUCGGAAUUGCUAGUAAUCGCAGAUCAGCAUGCUGCGGUGAAUACGUUCCCGGGCCUUGUACACACCGCCCGUCACACCAUGAGAGCCGGGGGGACCCGAAGUC